rnacentral:rRNA from 1 species
UACGGAGGGUGCAAGCGUUGUCCGGAUUCAUUGGGUUUAAAGGGUACGCAGGCGGGCGAUUAAGUCAGGGGUGAAAGACGGUUGCUCAACAAUCGCAGUGCCUUUGAUACUGGUUGUCUUGGGUGACCUUGAGGUAGGCGGAAUGGGUGGUGUAGCGGUGAAAUGCAUAGAUACCACCCAGAACUCCGAUUGCGAAGGCAGCCUACUGGAGGUUCACCGACGCUCAGGCACGAAAGCGUGGGGAUCAAACAGG